UACAGAGGGGGCGAGCGUUAUUCGGAAUUAUUGGGCGUAAAGGGCGCGUAGGCGGCCUUGUAAGUCUUGGGUGAAAUCCCUCAGCUCAACUGAGGAACUGCCUUGGAUACUGCAGGGCUUGAGGCCGGGAGAGGGUAGUGGAAUUCCCAGUGUAGCGGUGAAAUGCGUAGAUAUUGGGAGGAACACCGGUGGCGAAGGCGGCUACCUGGACCGGUUCUGACGCUGAUGCGCGAAAGCGUGGGGAGCAAACAGG
rnacentral:rRNA from 1 species